GUUCGACUCCUGUGCAACGUCUUGAUGUGGAGCCACCUCCUCCAAGCACCUAAAGCCGACCCAGAAAUGCCUCCCGAUCCCUCCAUAACGCGGCUCUCGCGAUCCGAAGCUGGGGAGCUGCCUCUGUCCAAUCACGCUUUGCACCCCGGACGCUUCCGCUUAUGACGUCAUUGAUCAGCCUGUGGCAUCUGCAUCUAAGAGGAUGCCAGACUUCAAACCCAUGUGAGGGCAAGUGGGGCCCCAUUUCUUUUUGCCUCUCUUAGCUGGUACCUGGAAUGAGUUCAACAUUCAAACAUUCACCUCCUAAAUGUGCUGUACAAGCUACAAACCCACAAGCAAAUGAAAUGGAGCGGGUUAUGUUUCAAUCUAUGGUAUUGAAGUUAAACAGCAGACAGAACUCCAGUCCCUGGCCUCAAGGGCAGUGGGGGUGCAGCCCAACUCUGUGGCCUCGGUCUUCCUAGUGGCUCUGUGUACAGUGAGACGGCACCUACCACCCAACUGCCCUAUGCUUGGAAGAGGGUGCCAGGACGCAUGUGUGCAAGCGUACUUGGACAUCGGGGAGAAUAAAUGCCAAUCUUUGUACCAGUCAGAGUCUGGCAUGAAGAAGAUGGCACAUUCCCACUGGGUAAUCCGAGGAGCAUUUAAAAGAGUCCCGUUUAGUACGGACAGGUGUAAGGAAACGAGGACUCCAGGAUGGGCAUUAGUGACGAGCUGUCCCCAUCACCAGGCCCGAAGGGUCACAAAAGGCAGCAGCUCCUGGAACCCAGAGAUCGGGUAUUGAGAGUCGCCCCAGGAGCUAAGAUGUCGAGUCCAGAGAUGCAGAAAGCCCACGGCUACCUUGAUAUCACAGGGAGGUACCCGAGGGAAUAAAUGCCCACCUUCACCUUCCUCCUUCCCUCCACUAUCCUGCUGCUGAGGCUCGGCCUGAAGCCAGUGGGAGUUUGGUGGGGCCUCUCCGACUCGGGCAGAGGAGCUGAGGAAGAGCGGAGAGUCGGGCUUCUGGAACAAAAGGAUGUCAUCGGGCAUUCAGAGUUUGC